AAUAGUCAAAAGGCUGAACCAGCAACUUGGAAGAAUGAAGUAAUGAUUAAGUCAUAUAAAGUUCUAGAUAAAAUAAAGAGAAUGACGAUUUUUUAUCUAUAAGUCUUGACCAAAUUACGUGCCAGCAGUCGCGGUAAUACGUGAAAGACUAGUGUUAUUCAUCUUUAAUCGGUAUAAAGGGUACCUAGAUUGAAUACCAAGCCAUAAAAGGUACUAGUAUUCUAGAGUUUUAUGUGAGAAUAUACGAAUUAUCAGAGGAGAGUUCAAAUUUUAUUAUACUGGUAGGACGGGUAACGGCAAAGGCUGUAUUCUAUGUAAAAACUGACAUUGAGGAACGAAGCCUAGGGUAGCGAAAAGGAUUAGAUACCCUAUUAGUCCUAGGAGACAAUUAUGAGUGCCAUAGGCUAGAAAUUUUUAGUUUAUAAAUGAAAGUGUAAGCACUCCACCUCAUGACUAAGGCGGCAAUGCACAAAUUGAAAUCAUUAGACCGUUUCUGAAACCAGUAGUGAAGUAUGUUAUUUAAUUCGAUGACCCGCGAAUAACCUUACCACGUUUUGAAUAUUAUUAAAAAUAUUAAAAAUAUUACAAGAAAUAUUACAAGCGCUGCACGGCUGUCUUCAGUUGAUAUCGUGAGAUUUUGGUUAAUUCCUUUAAUUAACGAAAACCCUUGCUUUAUUUGUUAUUAAAGUAUUUUUCUAAAAGGAAAAAAUAAUAGGGACCAAGACAAGUCAUCAUGGCCUAAAUAACG
rnacentral:rRNA from 1 species